rnacentral:rRNA from 1 species
AUUGAACGCUGGCGGCAUGCUUUACACAUGCAAGUCGAACGGUAACAGGCCGCAGGGUGCUGACGAGUGGCGAACGGGUGAGUAAUGCAUCGGAACGUGCCCAGUCGUGGGGGAUAACUACUCGAAAGAGUAGCUAAUACCGCAUACGAUCUAUGGAUGAAAGCGGGGGACCGUAAGGCCUCGCGCGAUUGGAGCGGCCGAUGUCAGAUUAGGUAGUUGGUGGGGUAAAGGCUCACCAAGCCAACGAUCUGUAGCUGGUCUGAGAGGACGACCAGCCACACUGGGACUGAGACACGGCCCAGACUCCUACGGGAGGCAGCAGUGGGGAAUUUUGGACAAAGGGCGCAAGCCUGAUCCAGCAAUGCCGCGUGCAGGAAGAAGGCCUUCGGGUUGUAAACUGCUUUUGUACGGAACGAAACGGCUCUGGUUAAUACCCGGGGCUAAUGACGGUACCGUAAGAAUAAGCACCGGCUAACUACGUG